rnacentral:rRNA from 1 species
CCUACGGGAGGCAGCAGUGGGGAAUAUUGCACAAUGGGGGAAACCCUGAUGCAGCGACGCCGCGUGAAGGAAGAAGUAUUUCGGUAUGUAAACUUCUUUCAGCAGGGAGGAAAAUGACGGUACCUGACUAAGAAGCCCCGGCUAACUACGUGCCAGCAGCCGCGGUAAUACGUAGGGGGCAAGCGUUAUCCGGAUUUACUGGGUGUAAAGGGAGCGUAGGCGGUUUAGCAAGUGAGAAGUGAAAGCCCGGGGCUCAACUCCGGGACUGCUUUUGAAACUGUUGAACUAGAGUGCAGGCGAGGUAAGUGGAAGUCCUAGUGUAGCGGUGAAAUGCGUAGAUAUUAGGAGGAACACCAGUGGCGAAGGCGGCUUACUGGACUGUAAAUGACGCUGAGGCUCGAAAGCGUGGGGAGCAAACAGGAUUAGAUACCCCAGUAGUC